CAAGGGUUCAGGGGAUCUCGUAGUCGAGCAGUCUCGACUAUAGCUUUCUUACUUGUUUAUUUAUAAUAUUGCUUUACAUUUGUUUCAGAAUUUUUACCUGCUGACAGAAAAGAAAUGAAAAAUCAUAGAAUAUUACAAAAUAAACUUGACCAAUAUUAGUUAAAUAAUAAUACAAUAAUAACAAGAGUACAUACAUAAUAAAUUUAUUAUUAUUAUUAAAAUAAGCAUGGGAUGGAAUAUGGAACUAUAGAACAGAAGAAACAGCUGUCUAUGCCAUAUAAUAAUAAUAAAUUGCACGAUAUUAUUAUUAUAAAUAAGCUAUUUAUCAUAUCAACAUUUCGCCCUAUCAACCAACCAUAUAUGUAUAUUCCUAGCCCGAUUUACAUACAUAUGUACAUACAUAUGUCAAACUGUCUCUCUAUCUAUCUCACUGUCCAACUAACAGUCUGUCUCUCCGUCCGACUCUCUGUCGGACUCUUUCAAAGGCAAAGGGACGGCAAAGGCCAGGAACGAAGAAGAACUACAAAAGAUCUCUCAAAUUGUCUAUAUGUAUGCAACAGUAUUCAUUUGGUAUUUAUAUUUAAGUGGAACGAAGUCAGAAUGCUCACAGCAGCAGAGAGUGUUCCUUCCCAUUGGUCCAUUGAAGCUCGACUGCAACGAGCUCUACCUGGCACCGGGCUCAACAUAUGAGAGCGACAUAUGAGAGUGUCUGAGUGAAAGUCGCCCUAUAUAAAGAGCAGCAGCUGCAGCAUUUCUUCAGUCGUCGAGGCCUGGUGGGACAGAGCAGUCUUGGAGGAAUCACUUGGAGGAAAUAAUCAGAGAAAUGCCUUGAGACAAUACUUGGAAGACACAAAACUUUUUGCAGAAAUACAGCACCUUGAAGAAAUAUUUUGGGAAUAUACUUACAGAACACAUA